rnacentral:rRNA from 1 species
GACGAACGCUGGCGGCGUGCUUAACACAUGCAAGUCGAACGAUGAAGAAAAGAAUCGAAGCUUCGGCAGAAAUUCAUUUCGGAUUAGUGGCAGACGGGUGAGUAACGCGUGAGCAACCUACCUCUUACAAAGGGAUAGCCUCGGGAAACCGGGAUUAAUACCAUAUAACAUUGUGACGAAGCAUUUCGAUGCAAUCAAAGCUACGGCGGUAAGAGAUGGGCUCGCGUCCCAUUAACCGGAUGGUGAGGUAACGGCUCACCAUAGUGACGAUGGGUAACCGGCCUGAGAGGGUGAACGGUCACACUGGAACUGAGACACGGUCCAGACUCCUACGGGAGGCAGCAGUGGGGAAUAUUGCACAAAGGAGGGAACUCUGAUGCAGCGACGCCGCGUGAGUGAUGAAGGAAUUCGUUUCGUAAAACUCUGUUCUAUGGGAAGAAAAGGACUGUACCAUAGGAGAAAGCUCCGGCUAAAUACGUG